rnacentral:rRNA from 1 species
GAUCAUGGCUCAGGAUGAACGCUGCGGCAUGCCUAAGACAUGCAAGUCGAACGAGACGGCCCAAUGAAGAUGGAGUGCUUGCACAAAGUUGGAUUUGGUUUCCCGUCUAGUGGCGCAAGGGUGAGUAACACGUGGGUAAUCUACCUUCGAGUCUGGAAUAACAGUUAGAAAUGAUUGCUAAUACCGGAUAAGAGCGCCUCCUUGGAGGGAGGCGGAGAAAGCGGCUUCGGCCGCGCCGGAGGAACGGCCCGCGUGCUAUUAGAUAGUUGGUGGGUAACGGCCUACCAAGUCGACGAUCAGUAGCCGGACUGAGAGGUUGAUCGGCCACAUUGGGACUGAGACACGGCCCAGACUCCUACGGGAGGCAGCAGUGGGGAAUAUUGCGCAAUGGGGGAAACCCUGACGCAGCAACGCCGCGUGAAGGAUGAAGGUCUUCGGAUUGUAAACUUUUGUCUUAUGGGACGAAAAAGGACGGUACCAUAGGAGGAAGCCACGGCUAACUACGUG